rnacentral:rRNA from 1 species
AUGCACCGCUCCAUCCUGGCCGGUGGGACAAGAAUCAACCAAGAACAACAGAUUCCAUUCAACCAAGGAAGGCAUCUUCUACCACUUUCUAUGUGUGUGUGUGCGCUCUUUUGUCGUAAUGUUAUCUGGCGAAUGUCAGCUGGGAAGGGGAUGACAUGCGGCGGACACACUUUCCUAACAGUUUUAGUUACGGCACGAGAUCAAAUAGUGACGGUUUCAGAAGCAAAAUGUCUUUCUGUGAGGAAACUAUCUUGCAGUUCUGAAGAAACCGCCAACCCCCAUACAACUAAAACUGUCAUCUAA